UGUCUGACAGAGAAAAGAAAUGUAGCAUAGCAGUUAAUAGAAGCAGAGGCGGAGACAUACUGGAAAGUAGCUUCUGAGAACACAUUUUGUGCCUGUGUGGGAUGCGCCUGGGGAAGGAUUGGCUUAAGCAUCUGACCUGCUCAGAAAUACAGAAGGAUCAGUUACUACCUGUGUACAUGGAGGAUCAUCAAAUAAAUUUCCUAUGUUGUGCCUUUAGUUUCUUCUCUGUGGCUCAUAGUGGCUGAUAGAAGGCAGUGGGAUACUCAGUUCUUCAGGCUUCAUCUUAUACGGAGCAAUGAAAAAUUAGGACUUAUGUGUGUAUGGACACAUCAGAAAGCAAUUGUGAAAACCAAGAAUGCGUAUGUCUUCCAUCCUGCAAGAUUACUGGCUACUCUUACA